UACAGAGGGGGGCAAGCGUUGUUCGGAAUUACUGGGCGUAAAGGGCGCGUAGGCGGCCGCCUAAGUCAGACGUGAAAUCCCUCAGCUUAACUGGGGAACUGCGUCUGAUACUGGAUGGCUUGGAUUCGGGAGAGGAAUGCGGAAUUCCAGGUGUAGCGGUGAAAUGCGUAGAUAUCUGGAGGAACACCGGUGGCGAAGGCGGCAUUCUGGGACCGAUAUUGACGCUGAGGAGCGAAAGCCAGGGGAGCAAAACGGGG
rnacentral:rRNA from 1 species